GAUGAACGCUGGCGGCGUGCCUAAUACAUGCAAGUCGAGCGAACAGAUGAGGAGCUUGCUCCUCUGACGUUAGCGGCGGACGGGUGAGUAACACGUGGAUAACCUACCUAUAAGACUGGGAUAACUUCGGGAAACCGGAGCUAAUACCGGAUAAUAUAUUGAACCGCAUGGUUCAAUAGUGAAAGACGGUUUUGCUGUCACUUAUAGAUGGAUCCGCGCCGCAUUAGCUAGUUGGUAAGGUAACGGCUUACCAAGGCGACGAUGCGUAGCCGACCUGAGAGGGUGAUCGGCCACACUGGAACUGAGACACGGUCCAGACUCCUACGGGAGGCAGCAGUAGGGAAUCUUCCGCAAGGGGCGAAAGCCUGACGGAGCAACGCCGCGUGAGUGAUGAAGGUCUUCGGAUCGUAAAACUCUGUUAUUAGGGAAGAACAAAUGUGUAAGUAACUAUGCACGUCUUGACGGUACCUAAUCAGAAAGCCACGGCUAACUACGU
rnacentral:rRNA from 1 species